GGAGGAAAAGAAACUAACAAGGAUUCCCCUAGUAACGGCGAGUGAAGCGGGAAGAGCUCAAAUUUGAAAUCUGGCAGUCUUCGAUUGUCCGAGUUGUAAUCUAUAGAGGCGUUUUCCGUGCCGGACCGUGUCCAAGUCUCCUGGAAAGGAGUAUCAAAGAGGGUGAUAAUCCCGUACUUAACACGACCACCGGUGCUCUGUGAUACGUCUUCUACGAGUCGAGUUGUUUGGGAAUGCAGCUCAAAAUGGGUGGUGAAUUCCAUCUAAAGCUAAAUAUUGGCGAGAGACCGAUAGCGAACAAGUACCGUGAGGGAAAGAUGAAAAGCACUUUGGAAAGAGAGUUAAACAGUACGUGAAAUUGUUGAAAGGGAAACGAUUGAAGUCAGUCGUGUUCUUUGGAUUCAGCCAGUUCUGCUGGUCUACUUCCUUGGAACGGGUCAACAUCAGUUUUGUCCGGUGGAUAAAGGUAGUAGGAAUGUGACUUCUCCGGAAGUGUUAUAGCCUAUUAUCACAUACACUGGGUGAGACUGAGGACUGCAGCUCGCCUUUAUGGCCGGUCUUCGGACACGUUCGAGCUUAGGAUGUUGACAUAAUGGCUUUAAACGACCCGUCUUGAA
rnacentral:rRNA from 1 species